rnacentral:rRNA from 1 species
GAUGAACGCUAGCGGCAGGCUUAAUACAUGCAAGUCGAGGGACAGCACAGGUAGCAAUACUGGGUGGUAACCGGCAAACGGGUGCGGAACACGUACACAACCUUCCUUUAAGUGGGGGAUAGCCCAGAGAAAUUUGGAUUAAUACCCCGUAAUAUAGUUUGAUGGCAUCAUCGGACUAUUAUAGCUACGGCGCUUAAUGAUGGGUGUGCGGCUGAUUAGAUAGUUGGCGGGGUAACGGCCCACCAAGUCUACGAUCAGUAGCUGAUGUCAGAGCAUGAUCAGCCACCCGGGCACGGAGACACGGGCCCGACUCCUACGGGAGGCAGAAGGAAGGAAUAUUGGUCAAUGGACGCAAGUCUGAACCAGCCAUGCCGCGUGAAGGAUUAAGGUCCUCUGGAUUGUAAACUUCUUUUAUUUGGGACGAAAAAGGGUCUUUCUAGAUCAACUGACGGUACCAGAUGAAUAAGCACCGGCUAACUACGUGCCAGCCGCCGCAGUAACAC